AGGACGAACGCUGGCGGCGUGCUUAACACAUGCAAGUGGAGCGACGAACCAGGGCUUGCCCUGGGGCAGAGCCGCGAACGGGUGAGUAACACGUGGGUUACCUGCCUUGAUGACCGGGACAACCCGAGGAAAACUCGGGCUAAUACCGGAUGUGCCCGCAAGGGGAAAGGAAGCUUCGGCCUCCGCAUCAAGAUGGGCCCGCGGCCCAUUAGCUUGUUGGUGAGGUAACGGCUCACCAAGGCUUCGAUGGGUAGCUGGUCUGAGAGGACGAUCAGCCACACUGGGACUGAGACACGGCCCAGACUCCUACGGGAGGCAGCAGUGGGGAAUCUUGCGCAAUGCGCGAAAGCGUGACGCAGCAACGCCGCGUGGGGGAAGAAGGCUUUCGGGUUGUAAACCCCUUUCAGUUGGGACGAAGCUUCUCCGGUGAAUAGCCGGACGGAGUGACGGUACCUUCACAAGAAGCACCGGCUAACUACGCGCCAGCAGCCGCGGU
rnacentral:rRNA from 1 species